UGGGGAAUAUUGCACAAUGGGCGAAAGCCUGAUGCAGCAACGCCGCGUGAGUGAUGAAGGUCUUCGGAUUGUAAAGCUCUGUCUUUUGGGACGAUAAUGACGGUACCAAAGGAGGAAGCCACGGCUAACUAAGUGCCAGCAGCCGCGGUAAUACGUAGGUGGCGAGCGUUGUCCGGAUUUACUGGGCGUAAAGGGUGCGUAGGCGGAUGUUUAAGUGAGAUGUGAAAUACCCGGGCUUAACUUGGGUGCUGCAUUUCAAACUGGAUAUCUAGAGUGCAGGAGAGGAGAAUGGAAUUCCUAGUGUAGCGGUGAAAUGCGUAGAGAUUAGGAAGAACACCAGUGGCGAAGGCGAUUCUCUGGACUGUAACUGACGCUGAGGCACGAAAGCGUGGGUAGCAAACAGGAUUAGAUACCCUGGUAGUCCACGCCGUAAACGAUGAGUACUAGGUGUAGGAGGUAUCGACCCCUUCUGUGCCGCAGUAAACACAUUAAGUACUCCGCCUGGGAAGUACGAUCGCAAGAUUAAAACUCUAAAGUGAAUUGAC
rnacentral:rRNA from 1 species